UACGAAGGGGGCUAGCGUUGUUCGGAAUUACUGGGCGUAAAGCGCGCGCAGGCGGCUAUCCAAGUCAGUGGUGAGAGCCCGGAGCUCAACUCCGGAACUGCCAUUGAAACUGUUUAGCUUGAGGAUGAGAGAGGUGAGUGGAAUUCCCAGUGUAGAGGUGAAAUCCGUAGAUAUUGGGAAGAACACCGGUGGCGAAGGCGGCUCACUGGCUCAUUACUGACGCUCAGGCGCGAUAGCGUGGGGAUCAAACAGG
rnacentral:rRNA from 1 species